GACGUUGUGCCAGAGUGGUUAAUGGGUAUGACUCGAAUGUUCUAUCAGAUGAUAUCAUAUGCCUUCGGGCGCGCAAGUUCGAAUCUUGUCAACGUCG